rnacentral:miRNA from 1 species
GGCAAAAACCACAAUUUCUUUU